rnacentral:tRNA from 2 species
GUCCUCGUAGCUCAGCAGGAUAGAGCGUCAGUUUCCUAAACUGUAGGUCGGAGGUUCGAAUCCUCUCGGGGACGCCA